UGGGGAAUAUUGCACAAUGGGGGAAACCCUGAUGCAGCGACGCCGCGUGAACGAAGAAGGUAUUCGUAUCGUAAAGUUCUGUCCUAUGGGAAGAUAAUGACAGUACCAUAGAAGAAAGCUCCGGCUAAAUACGUGCCAGCAGCCGCGGUAAUACGUAUGGAGCGAGCGUUGUCCGGAAUUAUUGGGCGUAAAGGGUACGCAGGCGGUUUAAUAAGUCGAAUGUUAAAGAUCGGGGCUCAACCCCGUAAAGCAUUGGAAACUGAUAAACUUGAGUAGGGGAGAGGAAAGUGGAAUUCCUAGUGUAGUGGUGAAAUACGUAGAUAUUAGGAGGAAAACCAGUAGCGAGGGCGACUUUCUGGACACAAACUGACGCUGAGGUACGAAAGCGUGGGGAGCAAACAGG
rnacentral:rRNA from 1 species